UCGACGUUCGCUGAAUGUGCACGCGCAAAGUACAUUGUCCCUGCUUUUGUUGCCAAUAGAUUGUUUUAUACAUCUCCCGGACUUAUCAAACUCUCCCCAAACAGAAGAUUAUGUCUGCCCUUAAACUUGGUCUUGCGUCUGUACGGAGACUCCCUUCUACCAUCGCCGGACAUGCCGCCCAAAAGAUGUUAGAAGCAAUGGAUACGCUGCCUGCUUUUGGACCAAGUCAGUUCAGCAUCUUCGGGGUAAGAUCUAGAUUUCCUGAUAUCCGUCGCUGUUGUCAAUUACAUUUGGGGGUUCUAUUAAGACGAUAUUGUAUGGAGAAGGAUGAACUAUAUUUAUGAUAAUAUUUAUAUUAUGAUCCCAUUAGGAUUAGAUUGUUACCCUGUUUACAUGUUGUUUAACGCCGCACAGUAUUCCAGGUAUAUGGCGGCAGCCUGUAAAUAAUCGAGUUCAGGACUAAGCAUGUAUUACAUGCAUAAACUCAACAUGAACAUAUACUACUAUUGCUUUCUCUUGUAUUUCCAUAAGAUCGGCACAUGGGAGGGAGGCUGUUCAUACACGUGCUCUUAUUUCAGGUAGAAGCAAUGGAUACCCAACCUUACACAGGGCACAGCCAGUUUAGU